CAUAGAUAGAGGUAUAGCACACUGCACCCUCUUCACUGUGCAUGGUCCACCUCCAUGCCUCGGUGACCUAAUGGGGGUAGACCCCUUGUUUUAUUGCUCACAACUUUAUCACUAUCCUUAAAUAUGACUUCACUCACUACUCUGCCCCCUAAACUAUACACAA